CUACGGGUGGCUGCAGUGGGGAAUAUUGCACAAUGGGCGCAAGCCUGAUGCAGCCAUGCCGCGUGUGUGAAGAAGGCCUUCGGGUUGUAAAGCACUUUCAGCGGGGAGGAAGGCGGUGAGGUUAAUAACCUCAUCGAUUGACGUUACCCGCAGAAGAAGCACCGGCUAACUCCGUGCCAGCAGCCGCGGUAAUACGGAGGGUGCAAGCGUUAAUCGGAAUUACUGGGCGUAAAUCGCACGCAGGCGGUCUGUCAAGUCGGAUGUGAAAUCCCCGGGCUCAACCUGGGAACUGCAUUCGAAACUGGCAGGCUAGAGUCUUGUAGAGGGGGGUAGAAUUCCAGGUGUAGCGGUGAAAUGCGUAGAGAUCUGGAGGAAUACCGGUGGCGAAGGCGGCCCCCUGGACAAAGACUGACGCUCAGGUGCGAAAGCGUGGGGAGCAAACAGGAUUAGAUACCCGUGUAGUC
rnacentral:rRNA from 1 species